UGUGACUGAGUGGCGGACGGGUGAGUAACGCGUGGGUAACCUGCCUCAUACAGGGGGAUAACAGUUAGAAAUGACUGCUAAUACCGCAUAAGACCACGGAGUCGCAUGACUCAGUGGGAAAAACUCCGGUGGUAUGAGAUGGACCCGCGUCUGAUUAGGUAGUUGGUGGGGUAACGGCCUACCAAGCCGACGAUCAGUAGCCGACCUGAGAGGGUGACCGGCCACAUUGGGACUGAGACACGGCCCAAACUCCUACGGGAGGCAGCAGUGGGGAAUAUUGCACAAUGGGGGAAACCCUGAUGCAGCGACGCCGCGUGAGCGAAGAAGUAUUUCGGUAUGUAAAGCUCUAUCAGCAGGGAAGAAAAUGACGGUACCUGACUAAGAAGCACCGGCUAAAUACGUGCCAGCAGCCGCGGUAAUACGUAUGGUGCAAGCGUUAUCCGGAUUUACUGGGUGUAAAGGGAGCGUAGACGGCUGUGUAAGUCUGAAGUGAAAGCCCGGGGCUCAACCCCGGGACUGCUUUGGAAACUAUGCAGCUAGAGUGUCGGAGAGGUAAGUGGAAUUCCCAGUGUAGCGGUGAAAUGCGUAGAUAUUGGGAGGAACACCAGUGGCGAAGGCGGCUUACUGGACGAUGACUGACGUUGAGGCUCGAAAGCGUGGGGAGCAAACAGGAUUAGAUACCCUGGUAGUCCACGCCGUAAACGAUGACUACUAGGUGUCGGGUGUCACAGACAUUCGGUGCCGCAGCAAACGCAAUAAGUAGUCCACCUGGGG
rnacentral:rRNA from 1 species